UGGGGAAUAUUGCACAAUGGGGGAAACCCUGAUGCAGCGACGCCGCGUGAACGAAGAAGGUAUUCGUAUCGUAAAGUUCUGUCCUAUGGGAAGAUAAUGACAGUACCAUAGAAGAAAGCUCCGGCUAAAUACGUGCCAGCAGCCGCGGUAAUACGUAUGGAGCGAGCGUUGUCCGGAAUUAUUGGGCGUAAAGGGUACGCAGGCGGUUUAAUAAGUCGAAUGUUAAAGAUCGGGGCUCAACCCCGCAAAGCAUUGGAAACUGAUAAACUUGAGUAGUGGAGAGGAAAGUGGAAUUCCUAGUGUAGUGGUGAACUACGUAGAUAUUAGGAGGAAUACCAGUAGCGAAGGCGACUUUCUGGACACACACUGACGCUGAGGUACGAAAGCGUGGGGAGCAAACAGG
rnacentral:rRNA from 1 species